rnacentral:rRNA from 1 species
AGUGAACGCUGGCGGUAGGCCUAACGCAUGCAAGUCGAACGGCAGCACAGUAAGAGCUUGCUCUUACGGGUGGCGAGUGGCGGACGGGUGAGGAAUACAUCGGAAUCUACUUUUUCGUGGGGGAUAACGUAGGGAAACUUACGCUAAUACCGCAUACGACCUACGGGUGAAAGCAGGGGAUCUUCGGACCUUGCGCGAUUGAAUGAGCCGAUGUCGGAUUAGCUAGUUGGCGGGGUAAAGGCCCACCAAGGCGACGAUCCGUAGCUGGUCUGAGAGGAUGAUCAGCCACACUGGAACUGAGACACGGUCCAGACUCCUACGGGAGGCAGCAGUGGGGAAUAUUGGACAAUGGGCGCAAGCCUGAUCCAGCCAUACCGCGUGGGUGAAGAAGGCCUUCGGGUUGUAAAGCCCUUUUGUUGGGAAAGAAAAGCAGCAGGCUAAUACCCCGCUGUUCUGACGGUACCCAAAGAAUAAGCACCGGCUAACUUCGU